GUGAAUCAUCAAAUUUUUGAACGCAUAUUGCACUCUCUGGUAUUCCGGAGAGUAUGCCUAUUUGAGGGUCAGUUGUAAUAAUAUACAUUCCAAGAUUUCUCGGAAUUUAAAAUGGGUUGUCCAUUUUUUGUGUUCGCCUAAACUCCAAGACAAGCUCAUUUUCUUGUGUGGCGUGAUACUCUUAGUUACCCCGUGACUUAACCAGGAAUGAUCGGGCGUGUUAUGAAUUUUGCAAGAG
rnacentral:misc_RNA from 1 species